GGAGUAAAAGUCGUAACAAGGUCUCCGUUGGUGAACCAGCGGAGGGAUCAUUACCGAGUUUACAACUCCCAAACCCAAUGUGAACCAUACCAAACUGUUGCCUCGGCGGGGUCACGCCCCGGGUGCGUCGCAGCCCCGGAACCAGGCGCCCGCCGGAGGGACCAACCAAACUCUUUCUGUAGUCCCCUCGCGGACGUUAUUUUUACAGCUUUGAGCAAAAAUUCAAAAUGAAUCAAAACUUUCAACAACGGAUCUCUUGGUUCUG
rnacentral:misc_RNA from 1 species